rnacentral:rRNA from 1 species
GCCUACGGGGGGCAGCAGUGGGAAAUAUUGCACAAUGGGGGAAACCCUGAUGCAGCGACGCCGCGUGAGUGAAGAAGUAUUUCGGUAUGUAAAGCUCUAUCAGCAGGGAAGAUAAUGACGGUACCUGACUAAGAAGCCCCGGCUAACUACGUGCCAGCAGCCGCGGUAAUACGUAGGGGGCAAGCGUUAUCCGGAUUUACUGGGUGUAAAGGGUGCGUAGGCGGUCUGUUAAGUCAGCGGUCAAAGCCCGGGGCUCAACCCCGGCCCGCCGUUGAAACUGGCAGUCUCGAGUUGGAGAGAAGGAU